GAUCCUGGCUCAGGAUGAACGCUAGCUACAGGCUUAACACAUGCAAGUCGAGGGGCAGCAUGGUCUUAGCUUGCUAAGGCUGAUGGCGACCGGCGCACGGGUGAGUAACACGUAUCCAACCUGCCGUCUACUCUUGGCCAGCCUUCUGAAAGGAAGAUUAAUCCAGGAUGGGAUCAUGAGUCCACAUGUCCNCAUGAUUAAAGGUAUUUUCCGGUAGACGAUGGGGA
rnacentral:rRNA from 1 species